GAGGAUGUAGCUCAAGUAGCAGAGCACAUGUUUAGCAUCCAUAAGGUCCUGGGUUCAAACCCCAACACCUCCA
rnacentral:tRNA from 1 species